rnacentral:rRNA from 1 species
UACAGAGGUCCCAAGCGUUGUUCGGAUUUACUGGGCGUAAAGGGCGCGUAGGCGGUAGCACAAGUCAGUUGUGAAAUCUCCGGGCUUAACUCGGAAAGGUCAACUGAUACUGUGCGACUAGAGUGCAGAAGGGGCAACUGGAAUUCUCGGUGUAGCGGUGAAAUGCGUAGAUAUCGAGAGGAACACCUGUGGCGAAGGCGGCCAUCUGGACAACUACUGACACUGAGACGCGAAAGCGUGGGUAGCAAACAGG